rnacentral:rRNA from 1 species
GCUGGCGGCAGGCUUAACACAUGCAAGUACGGACGCACCUUCGGGUGAGUGGCAGACGGGUGAGUAACGCGUGGGAACCUUCCCUGUGGUACGGAAUAGCUCCGGGAAACUGGAAUUAAUACCGUAUACGCCCUUCGGGGGAAAGAUUUAUCGCCAUAGGAUGGGCCCGCGUCGGAUUAGCUUGUUGGUAGGGUAAUGGCCUACCAAGGCAACGAUCCGUAGCUGGUCUUAGAGGAUGAUCAGCCACACUGGGACUGAGACACGGCCCAGACUCCUACGGGAGGCAGCAGUGGGGAAUAUUGGACAAUGGGCGAAAGCCUGAUCCA